rnacentral:rRNA from 1 species
AUGAACGCUGGCGGCGUGCCUAAUACAUGCAAGUCGAGCGAACAGACGAGGAGCUUGCUCCUCUGACGUUAGCGGCGGACGGGUGAGUAACACGUGGAUAACCUACCUAUAAGACUGGGAUAACUUCGGGAAACCGGAGCUAAUACCGGAUAAUAUAUUGAACCGCAUGGUUCAAUAGUGAAAGACGGUUUUGCUUUCACUUAUAGAUGGAUCCGCGCCGCAUUAGCUAGUUGGUAAGGUAACGGCUUACCAAGGCGACGAUGCGUAGCCGACCUGAGAGGGUGAUCGGCCACACUGGAACUGAGACACGGUCCAGACUCCUACGGGAGGCAGCAGUAGGGAAUCUUCCGCAAUGGGCGAAAGCCUGACGGAGCAACGCCGCGUGAGUGAUGAAGGUCUUCGGAUCGUAAAACUCUGUUAUUAGGGAAGAACAAAUGUGUAAGUAACUAUGCACGUCUUGACGGUACCUAAUCAGAAAGCCACGGCUAACUACGUG